rnacentral:rRNA from 1 species
CCUACGGGAGGCAGCAGUGGGGAAUUUUGGACAAUGGGCGCAAGCCUGAUCCAGCAAUGCCGCGUGCAGGAUGAAGGCCUUCGGGUUGUAAACUGCUUUUGUACGGAACGAAAAAGUCUGCCCUAAUACGGUGGGCCCAUGACGGUACCGUAAGAAUAAGCACCGGCUAACUACGUGCCAGCAGCCGCGGUAAUACGUAGGGUGCGAGCGUUAAUCGGAAUUGCUGGGCGUAAAGCGUGCGCAGGCGGUUAUAUAAGACAGAUGUGAAAUCCCCGGGCUCAACCUGGGACCUGCAUUUGUGACUGUAUAGCUAGAGUACGGUAGAGGGGGAUGGAAUUCCGCGUGUAGCAGUGAAAUGCGUAGAUAUGCGGAGGAACACCGAUGGCGAAGGCAAUCCCCUGGACCUGUACUGACGCUCAUGCACGAAAGCGUGGGGAGCAAACAGGAUUAGAUACCCUGGUAGUCCACGCCCUAAACGAUGUCAACUGGUUGUUGGGUCUUCACUGACUCAGUAACGAAGCUAACGCGUGAAGUUGACCGCCUGGGGAGUCGGCCGCAAGGUUGAAACUUAAGGAAUUGACGGNUGAGAGNGCGAGACGACGACGAGGGAGGAGG